rnacentral:tRNA from 1 species
UGGCGCUGUGGUUAGCGUGUCCGCCUAUGGCGCCGAAUGCCUGGGUUCAAAUCCCGG